rnacentral:SRP_RNA from 1 species
GCUGGGUGUGGUGGCGCAUGCCUGUAAUUCCAGCUACUCGGGAGGCUGAGGUAGGAGAAUCGCUUGAACCCAGGAGGCAGAGGUUGCAGUGAGCCAAGAUCAUGCCACUGCACUCUCGCCUGUGCGACAAAGCGAGACUCUCUCUCUC